GGGACUAUACAAAGUCAUAAGUAACUGGAAAUGAAAAUCCCUGGGAACCAUCUUGGAGGCUGGUUGUCACAAUCCAAACUAUAACUUUAAGCAAUUUACAGAUAGAGAAAUGCUAAUGAAUGCUAAAAUCUAAUUUUUCAAAUAUUGACUCAAUUUUAUUUCCAGUCCUUAUGUAUAGAUAUACUCUAUAUUUAAUUUAUAUUGCUCACUGUUUGAAGUUUAUUCCCCUUAGGUGUAUAAAUGUGUUUGUUUUUUCUUUUCUUUCUUUUCUUUUCUUUUUUUUUUUUUUAUUUUGAGACGGAGUUUUGCUGCUGUUACCCAGGCUGGAGUGCAAUGGCACGAUCUUGGCUCACCACAACCUCCACCUCCUGGGUUCAGGCAAUUCUCCUGCCUCAGCCUCCCGAGUAGCUGGGAUUACAGGCACACACCACCAUGCCCAGCUAAGUUUUUAUAUUUUUAGUAGAGACGGGGUUUCACUGUGUUGACCAGGAUGGUCUUGAUCUCUUGACCUCGUGAUCCACCCGCCUCGGCCUCCCAAAGUGCUGGGAUUACAGGCUUGAGCCACCGCACCUGGCCUUGUUUUUUCUUUUCUUUUUUUUCUUUUUUUUGAGACAGAGUCUCACUCUGUUGCCUUGGCUGGAGUGCAGUGGCAUGAUUUUUACUCACUGCCACUUCAACCUCCUGGGCUCAAGGAAUCCUCCCACCUCAGCCUCCAGAGUAGCUGGGACUACAGACAUACACCAACACAUCUGGCCAAUUUUUGUAUUUUUUGUAGAGACAGGGUUUCACCUUUUUGCCCAGGCUGGUCUAGAACCCCUGAGGUCAAGUGAUCCACCCACCUCAGCCUCCCAAAGUGCUGGAAUUAUAGGCAUGAGCCAUGGCGCCUACCCGGUCUGUUUAUUCUUAAGUGAGCCUUGGUAGUUUGUCUUUCAAAGAAGUUGUCCAUUCAUCUAAUUUAUGUAUGUAUGUGUUUAUUUUUUUUUUUUAAAGAAAUAGGGUCUUGUUCUAUUGACAAGGCUGGAGUGCAGUGGUGCAAUCACAGUUCAUUUCAGCCUCAGACUCCUGGGCUCAAGCUGUCCUUCCAUCUCAGCCUCCAAGUAGCUGGGACUACAGGCAUGAGUCUCACUCUGUCGUCUAGGCUGAAGUGCAAGGGCUGGUCUUGGCUCACUGCAACCCCCACCUCCCAGAAAUGGGUUUUUGCCAUGUUGCCCAGUCUCAAACUCCUGAGCUCAAGCAAUCUGCACGCUUUGGCCUCCCAAAGUGCUGGAAUAACAGGCAUGGACCACCGCACCCAGCCUGGAACCACCUUAAUCAAGUGAUCAAGGUCAACAUCGCCAGUAAUAAAGAAGACAUAUGAACAUUAUGAAUCUCAUAUGAUUGACUGAGGACACUUUAUUUCGGUGAUAUUCUUCCAGAAAGCAUAACCUCAAACACAAGAAAACAUCAGACAAAACCAAUUUUUUUUUUACAGUUUCGCUCUGUCACCUGUGCUGGAGUCCAAUGGCAAGAUCUUGGCUCACUGCAACCUCUGCCUCCCAGGUUCAAGCAAUUUUCCUCCCUCAGCUUCCUGACUAGCUGGGACUACGGGCAUGUGCCACCAUGCCCCACUAGUUUUUUUGCAUUUUUUGUAGAGAUGGGGUUUCAGCAUGUCAGUCAGGCUGGUCUUGAACUCUUGACCUCAAAUGAUCCACCCACCUUGGUCUCCCAAAGUGCUGGGAUUAGAAGCGCGAGCCACUGCACACAGCCAGACAAACCCAAAUUGAGGGGUGUUAGACAAAAUAAUUUUUCAAAAGUGACAAGGGCAUGAAAAACAAGGUAACAUUGAAGAAGUAUUGAGACUGCCUCAGCCUUGAGUAACUGGGAUUAUAGGCAUGUGCCACUGUGCCCGGUUAAUUU